CAGCGCAGCCUCCAGGGAACAACAACUGUCCGUCCCCGGGUCAGAGCGGCGGCAAAACCUCACCUUUCAGGACUACACAUUAUCAAACCCGGGGGUGGGCGGAUGGGUGUGCUGAAAUGACUACAACUUGAAGCCUCACAUUCAAAUCCUAUUGGGUGGAGUUUGAUAAUUGCGAAU